rnacentral:piRNA from 1 species
UGUGAUAAAAUAUUGUGACCUA